CCGCAAUCUUGUAUCUGGAGCGGAGGUUAAUUGACAACGGAAAAUAGUAUAUCUUAUUUUAAACCGUAAUAAUAAUCCACCAAGGAAUAACGGGGAUUUGCACUCUGACACAAUCGCGUGCUCGCGUGUAAUCGAGUCUAUCGAAUUACGAAUUCGCGUCGGAGCAAGCAUCUGCAUUUCCAGAUUACACCUACCGAUGUAAUGCAGUUUAAUUUGCCCUCCCCCCUCCAGAGAUUCAUUGAUCUAAUUCGAGCAGCUAGCACUUGACGAUUCUUGACGACAAAGUCAUCGAUGAAACCAUGUUUCGAGAGGAUGAAAUUUAAUUCAUUCGAAAGAUAUCGAAGAGACUAUAUCAAGAAAGGGGAUUUAAGAUUAUGCGAGAAGAGUUUUCAAGCGUCAAAAGUUUAUCCUUCGCGUUUGAAUCUUUAUGAAAUCGGUUUUUCUUGAAAUGGUGUUAACAAGUGGAAGAAGCAAUCAAGUGUUCUUUGCUGGAUCGAGCUACCUAGACUGACAGGAGUUAAUAAUUCUGGUAGCUUUUGAGUCGGUUCAUCGCGCCGCGCACGAGCUACCAUCCCACCAAGGUGUCGGAUACGUAUAUGCAUAAUACCAUGAACUCGAGAAUUUGAAGGCUCGAGUAAUAUAACGUUUCAGGAAAUCCGUGAUUCAAUAGCUGAAAAAAAGGUUUCGUGCGUCAGACUGACGUCCAAAGUUUUCUUAACUAAAAUCUUAACUAUUUAGCAUCCAGUUAAAGUUCUGAUAUUGAUCGAUGAAAAUAUCAAAAGAUUGAAAAGAUUUAUUAUUAUUUUAUAUGAUAUAAAAAUACAAAAUGUAUUUAUAUAUGAUAUAAAGAUAGAA